rnacentral:lncRNA from 1 species
UGAUAUAUAUAUAUAUAUAUAUAUAUAGAGAGAGAGAGAGAGAGAGAGAGAGAGAGAGUGAGGCUACUAUGCUAUCGGAAGCACGGAGCCUUCCGUGCUUCCAGCUCGUUUUCGAUGUUGCGACUUUCGAAUCGUCGAUCGGCUCCGUUAAACUUGAUCUAGAGUAUUUGAAGUACCUAGAAAAUAAAUUUUAUUAUUUUACGAUAUCAUUUGCCUAGUGAACGAAGGGGCUCAAAAUCAACGGCUGAAAAUAAAAAUCUUACGAAAUAUAAUAAUAUGACAUUAAAAUUUUAUUAUUCUUCGAUAUCAUUUGCCUAGUGAUCGAAGGGGCUCAAAAUCAACAAAUUUCAAUGGCCGUAGUGAGCCGUUUGCAAGUUUAACGGUGUAGAAAUAUCCAAAUCACGUGAAAUUUUGAUAGAAAAUUCUUUAUACUAUAUAAAACAAGAUCAAUAUCUUUGAUUUAAAAUUUUAAUGUCAUAUUAUUACAUUUUGUAAGAUUUUUAUUUUCAGCCGUUGAUUUUGAGCCCCUUCGUUCACUAGGCAAAUGAUAUCGUAAAAUCACAAAAUUUAUUUUCUAGGUACUUCAAAUACUCUAGAUCAAGUUUAACGGAGCCGAUCGACGAUUCGCAAGUCGCAACAUCGAAAACGAGCUGGAAGCACGGAACGCUCCUUGCUUCCGAUAGCACAAUAGCCUUACUCUCUCUAUAUAUAUAUAUAUGGGUUAAUUGCAUACACGUCCCUAUAAAUAUAGUGAAUUGCAGAUAUAUUCCUACAAAACUCAACUUUCAUAAGUUAUUUCUACAAAAGUCCUAAUGAAUUCAGAUAUGUCCCUCUCGUUAGGAUCCGUUAGAGAGCUGUUAAUUUUUAAACAGUAGAGUUGUGAAAUGACAAUUUUGUCCUUGCCCUUGUCCUCUUCCUCUUCCUCUUCAGGCUGUGGGAGCGGACGGCGGCGGCGGCGACGGCGAUCUUGCAGAGCUUGUCGGGGUUGCAGCCUGCGAGGACGAGGAAGAGGCGGAAGGCGAAGGCGCGGCCGAUGCCGUCGGAGGCGCCUGUGACGAUGACCCACGCGGGCGCCACGACGGCGACGACGAUCGGAUCAUCCACGAUGAUGACGAAGAAGAAGAAGAAGAAAGAGGAGAAAUGGAGGAGGAAAAGGAGAAUAUAGAGAAGAAGAGUAUAAAGAAGAAGCAGGAGAGGAAGAGAAAAAAGAAGAAGGAUAAAAUUGUCAAUUCACAUUUUUAAUUAAUCAUGGUUAAGUAUUUUAACUGUGGUUAACGAUAUAUCUCAAAUAAACCCUAACAGCAGGGACAUAUCUGAAUACAUUAGGACUUUUAUAGGAAUAACUUAUGAAAGUUAAGCUUUGUAGGGAUAUAUCUACAAUUCAUCAUAUUUGCAGGGACGUGUAUGCAAUUAGCUAUAUAUAUAUAUAUAUAUAUAGAACACUAUCUAAUACCCCAUUAAUUUCU